rnacentral:rRNA from 1 species
AUGGUGAGGGAGAUGCGCAUCAACACCGCGCCCCGCGGCAACCGCGUCCCGCUCCUCAACAACGGGGAGACGUCCAGGAUCCUCUCCGACCUCGAGGAGGGCAGCAACGUCCAGGCGGCCAACGUCGGCUUCUGCCGGGUCAUCAAGUUGGCAAAGCAUGACGCGGGGAAGCUCGUCUUCGCGACCAUGGCGCUGCUCGUCGCUUCUCUCAGCAACCUCCUCGUUCCCAAAUACGGAGGCAAGAUAAUUGAUAUUGUGUCAAGAGAUGUUCAGCGGCCAGAGGAUAAGGCCCAAGCCCUGGCGGAUGUGAACGGCACAAUAUUGUACAUUGUGCUAAUAGUUGUAACCGGGUCAGUUUGCACAGCUCUUCGGGCAUGGCUAUUCAAUUCUGCUAGUGAGAGAGUCGUUGCUCGACUUAGACAGGACUUGUUCAGUCAUCUCGUAAACCAGGAGAUAGCAUUUUUUGACGUGACUAGAACAGGAGAGCUCUUAAGCAGGCUUUCUGAAGAUACCCAAAUUAUAAAGAAUGCAGCUACAACAAACCUUUCAGAAGCACUGCGUAAUCUGACUACCACAGCUAUUGGUCUUGGCUUUAUGGUGUUGGCACUUGUAAUUGUUCCAGUGAUAUCAGUUGCUGUGCGUAAAUUUGGGCGUUUUCUUCGUGAGCUUUCACAUCAGACACAAGCUGCGGCUGCUGUAGCUUCAUCCAUAGCUGAGGAAUCUUUUGGUGCCAUUCGCACAGUAAGAGCCUUUGCUCAAGAGCCUCAUGAGAUUUCACGAUAUGGUGGAAAAGUAAACGAGACACUGAAGCUUGGUCUCAAGCAAGCUAAAGUUGUUGGACUAUUUUCUGGAGGGCUUAAUGCUGCAUCAACCCUGUCGGUUGUUGUUGUAGUUAUUUAUGGAGCUAACUUAACCAUCAAUGGUUACAUGACAACUGGUUCUCUUACGUCAUUCAUCUUAUACAGCCUUACAGUUGGCUCGUCAGUCUCUGCCUUGUCAGGACUAUACACAACUGUAAUGAAAGCAUCAGGUGCAAGCCGUAGAGUUUUUCAACUACUUGACCGUGUUUCCUCAAUGACAAACACUGGGAAUAAAUGUCCAAAAAUCGAAAAUGAGGGGGAAGUUGAGCUGGACGAUGUUUGGUUUGCAUAUCCUUCUCGUCCUUCUCAUAUGAUUCUUAAGGGAAUCACAUUGAAGCUAGCACCAGGUUCAAAGGUUGCACUUGUUGGGCCGAGUGGUGGUGGAAAAACUACAAUAGCAAAUUUGAUUGAAAGGUUUUAUGACCCUCUAAAGGGAAGGAUCUUGCUAAAUGGAGUGCCUUUGGUAGAAAUUUCACAUCAGUAUCUCCACCAAAAGGUAAGCAUAGUUAGCCAGGAGCCUACACUCUUUAACUGCUCCAUUGAAGAGAAUAUUGCAUAUGGAUUGGAGGGCAAAGCUAGCUCUUCUGACGUUGAAAAUGCAGCUAAAAUGGCAAACGCGCACGACUUCAUAUGCAGCUUCCCAGACCAAUACAAGACUGUCGUCGGAGAGCGAGGCAUCAGGUUAUCGGGCGGGCAGAAGCAGAGGGUCGCCAUUGCGAGAGCUUUGCUUAUGAACCCACGAGUGCUUCUCUUAGAUGAAGCUACCAGCGCCCUGGAUGCCGAAAGCGAGUACCUUGUUCAGGAUGCAAUGGACUCGUUGAUGAAAGGGAGGACCGUUCUCGUGAUAGCUCAUCGGCUCUCCACCGUGAAGAGCGCUGACACGGUUGCCGUCAUCUCCGAGGGCCAGAUUGUAGAGAGAGGCACACACGACGAACUCCUCGAGUGCGACGGCAUCUACACGGCCCUGGUGAAGAGGCAGCUGCAGUUGCCCAAGUUUGAAGGGACCGCCAACGGGACAGCCGAAGUAGAACCCAGCAGCAACGGCCAAUAG